rnacentral:rRNA from 1 species
UACGUAGGGCGCGAGCGUUGUCCGGAUUUAUUGGGCGUAAAGAGCUCGUAGGCGGCUUGUUACGUCGACUGUGAAAACCCGCGGCUCAACUGCGGGCCUGCAGUCGAUACGGGCAGGCUAGAGUUCGGUAGGGGAGACUGGAAUUCCUGGUGUAGCGGUGAAAUGCGCAGAUAUCAGGAGGAACACCGGUGGCGAAGGCGGGUCUCUGGGCCGAUACUGACGCUGAGGAGCGAAAGCGUGGGGAGCGAACAGG